rnacentral:rRNA from 1 species
UACGUAGGGUGCAAGCGUUGUCCGGAAUUAUUGGGCGUAAAGAGCUCGUAGGCGGUUUGUCGCGUCUGCUGUGAAAACUCGGGGCUUAACCCCGGGCCUGCAGUGGGUACGGGCAGACUAGAGUACGGAAGAGGCGAGUGGAAUUCCUGGUGUAGCGGUGGAAUGCGCAGAUAUCAGGAGGAACACCAAUAGCGAAGGCAGCUCGCUGGGACGUUACUGACACUAAGGCGCGAAAGCGUGGGGAGCGAACAGG